rnacentral:lncRNA from 1 species
CUUGUGUCCUGUUUAAGAAAUAUCUGCUAUCCCAAGCAUCUGGCAUCUUUCUUGACAUACGUAGCAGUUGCUUUUUGACAGCUUGCUUCUGGAGUGAAUGAAUAAAUUAAUAAAUUUAUUCAUUUGAUAUUCAGUGACAUGUGAUAUUCAGUGAUCCAUUUUGCAGAUAACACUAACAAAGUUGACCUUAGAAUUGGAGUGCCCGGGUUAGAACCUUGCUGGUACCACCUGCUUACUGCAUGCUUCUGAUGUGAGUUCAGGAGAAGCCACUGGCAAGGACAGCAAAGAACAGGAGAACACUCUAGCUUCCCUGAUAGCAUUCAAGGUGCUGUCCAAAGCUCUUGAGUUUCUGCUUUCAAGUGACCCUCAGAAAUGCCCCCAUUCACUGCAGAGGUUCUGUUUCUCCUUGUUUUGUUCCGACUUUAUGGCAGAACUAGGUUAAUGAGUUAAUUACUAUGAGUUAUCACUUGGAUUUGAAGAACCAUCAUUUCUAGGCUUUGCUGCUCAGAGUGGGUUUGCCCUCAGGGGAAGCUAUCUAACCAGAGCCUAACCCACUAGGGUUUUAUCAGAACCUAACUGGCCUGAGGAAAAGAAAUAUUCAACUCCAGCAAGCUCCAGCCUUCCAAACGGAGGAGGAGAAAACCCAAAUCCAGCCCACUUCAGCUAUCUUGUCCCACAUAAAGGGGGAGUGGAAGAAACGUGAGAAGCAGGCAUGAAGUUCACAGUCCGGAGGUACAGACACAUCAGAGUUCAGUAUCUGAUGAAUUAGAUGCAAAAUCCUCAACAAAGUAUUAGCAAAUUGAAUUCAACAAUGUAUGAAAAUUAUUACAUGCCAUGACUAAUUGGAAUUUAUCUCAGGUAUACAAGCCAUGCUGAACAUCUGAAAAUCAAUUCAUGUGAUCCAUCACAUUAGCAGAUUCAAGAAAAAAAAAACCACAUUAUCAUAUCAGUAGAUGUAGAAAAAAAAAAUUAACAAAAUCCAGCACGCAUUCACAAUGAAAAUGCUCAGUAAAUUAGAAAUAGAAGGUAACUUCCUCAACUUGACAAGGAAUAUCUCUAAAAACCUACAACUAAAAUCAUACUUAAUGGUAAAAAACUAGAAGCCUUCCCAGUAAGAGUAAGAACAAGGCAAAGAUGUAUGCUCUCACCACUCCUUUUCAACAUCAUAUUGGAAGUCCUAGCUAGUGCAAUAAGCAAAAAAAAAAAAAAAAGUUAUAUUAAUAAGAAAAAAAACCGUGUUUGUUUGCAGAUGACAUGAUUGUCUAUGCAAAAA